rnacentral:rRNA from 1 species
GACGAACGCUGGCGGCGUGCUUAACACAUGCAAGUCGAGCGGUAAGGCCCUUUCGGGGGUACACGAGCGGCGAACGGGUGAGUAACACGUGGGUGACCUGCCCUCAGCUCUGGGAUAAGCCUGGGAAACUGGGUCUAAUACCGGAUAUGACUCCAUGACGCAUGUUGUGGGGUGGAAAGCCUUGUGCGGCUGAGGAUGGGCCCGCGGCCUAUCAGCUUGUUGGUGGGGUGANGGCCUACCAAGGCGACGACGGGUAGCCGGCCUGAGAGGGCGACCGGCCACACUGGGACUGAGACACGGCCCAGACUCCGUACGGGAGGCAGCAGGUGGGGAAUCUUGCGCAAUGGGCGAAAGCCUGACGCAGCGACGCCGCGUGAGGGAUGACGGCC